UACUGUUUCUGCAAAUUUAUUGUUCAUUUUAUGAAAGAAAAUAUAUCAUUACAAGUUCAAAGUAAACAUACAUUAUUUUCAAUAUUUCUUUGGUUAAUAUAAAUAAUAAUCUCGGAAUACUUAAUAAAGUAAAUAAAAAAACAGCAUUUUCAGAAAUAAUCCCAAAAAUAUGACUAGAAAUUAAAACCUGUAGGUGUUUCUGUUGUGAAAACAUUGAGUAACUUACAAUGUAUUACUUUUCUGUAAACAAUUAUAGCCUUUGAGCUUGAAAAGUCAUAACUGAAUAAAAAUAUAAUUUUUAAACAGAAUAUAGGAAGAGCUAGGUAUGAUCAUCAAUGUUGGCCUCAAGACCUGCUGCCAAUUAUGUACUGAAGUUAUAUACAAAAUUAAUUCCUUCUUAAAAAAGAUGGCAUGUGGCCAGCUCAGAAUAUAUAUAUUAAUUCAUCACCAUGAAGCAAAAAUCAUUGUAAGCUCUUAAUAAUGGAAAGUACAUGUACCAUUAACAAUUGUAAAUGUUUUAGGCAAUUUAAAUGAGUAAAAAGCUUUAAAGAAUUAUGUAAAAACUCUUGACAUUAAAUAAAUAUGUCCUGUUUAAAUUUUAUCUGAUAUAAACUUCUCAGCAUAUCUGAGGGUAGCGAUGCCCUUUAACGUCCAGCGUCAAACAGUCAUUUUCAGCUACCAUUAGCAUCAAAUUGGUUAAAAUUUUAACCUGAUUCAUCAAAAUAUCCUUCUCCUGAUUUGUCAGAGGUCUCAAAUAAUUAUCAUUACCGUCAUUUUUGAAAAAAAAUUAAUGUGAUUCGUCAAAAUCAGUCUAUGUUGUUAUUGUCAAACACCAAAAAAUUACCGUUAACGUCAUUUGGCAAGAAUUUUUAAUGUUAUCGUCAUGAUGGUACCCCCAUUACAACCCUCAAAUCUUAGUCAUUUUUUUCUUCUUAUUUUCCUUAACUUUUAAUUUGUUUUUAUGCUUAUGAAUAUUUCUGAUUUCAUAUGGAAUAAUUUACAGAAUUGUUAUGGAUUGAGAAAAUUGUAUGUCAGUUGCAUUAUUUUAUUUUGAAACAAAUUGAAAUCAAAACAAAAUAAAAGUUUUUGUUCUAUAAAAAUAGAUUUGAAAUAGUUAUCCACAAAAUAAACAACAAAUAAAACGGAACCAACAUAUAAAAUCAUUAAAUUAUAUAUAAAAUUAAAAUAAAAAGAAUAAGUAUAUUGCACUUUUUGUAAACAAAAAAAAUUUACAUAAUUAUAAGCACUUUUAAAUUAAAAAUAUAAUCAAGAGCUGUUCCAACAAAACAAACAAGGCUUCACACCAAAGAAGAUAAAAAUUUCUUGUGUAGUAGUCCAUUUAUAUAUUUUUUUGUCAAACUAGUUUUCUGUGUAGCGUUUUGUACUCUGGUGUUUAUAAAAAAAGAAGAUAUUGUAUGAUUGCCAAUGAGACAACUCUCCACAAGGGACAAAAAUGACACAGAAAUUAAAAACUAUAGGUCACCCUAUGGCCUUCAACAAUGAGCAAGUGUCAGUUUUUACUGCGGCUAGCCUUCCCUCACGUCUACCGUUUUUUCUAACAUUCACAGCAUCAUUACAUUUAUGAGGGGGAUUUUCCUCUUCAAAAAGGUAUGAAUUGUUGGAACAGCCAUAAGAAAGUGUAUAAUAUCAAAAUAUGGCACAAAAAACAGGUUAUAAAUAUAAAACAAAAAGCGAGACUUUACAAUACAGUUGUAGAAGGGACUGAACAUAGAAAUGAUUUUAUAAUGAGCAAAUCAAUAAGUUUUUAAAUUUUUUGUGUAAAUAAAAACAUAAUAUUCACAGAUCAGUGAGAUUUUAUAAUCUUUUGAAAUUCUAGUUUAGAUUAUCUGAUACUACAUUUUUUUUAUAACCUCUAACAAGAUAUACCAGUGUUUACUACCUUCAGUCAAUUAGCUAGGGAACCAUCACUCUAAUAGGUCCUUAUGUUAUUUUUUUACCAUUUGGAAUAGUCCACAAAUAGUCAGAAAUAACAUAAGGCCCUUAGGGCUACCGUUCCCCAGUCAUCAGCCAAUAUGGCCAACCACCUUGAUAUCAUGUCUUCAAUUAUAAAAAUAUUAGGAUUUAGCUGCACACGCUUCCUGUGGUUGUGUUAAUAUUAUAUAACACUUUGCAUUCUUAUCUUGCAAAACGAAAACAAAGCAAGAAUAGCCAUCUUACAUAAGCUUAUAAGCAAUAUUUUCACCAUUGCAACCUAAUUUACAAGAGAUGUAUUACUUUAAUACUAGAAUUGAUUUUAAAAUAAGCAAAGAAGCAACUGAAAAGCCACAGCUAAAUACCAUGCUUACAGAUGCUCUACAAAUAGCAACUUUAGUAAAAAUAAU
rnacentral:lncRNA from 1 species